CCUACGGGAGGCUGCAGUAGGGAAUCUUCGGCAAUGGACGGAAGUCUGACCGAGCAACGCCGCGUGAGUGAAGAAGGUUUUCGGAUCGUAAAGCUCUGUUGUAAGAGAAGAACGAGUGUGAGAGUGGAAAGUUCACACUGUGACGGUAACUUACCAGAAAGGGACGGCUAACUACGUGCCAGCAGCCGCGGUAAUACGUAGGUCCCGAGCGUUAUCCGGAUUUAUUGGGCGUAAAGCGAGCGCAGGCGGUUAGAUAAGUCUGAAGUUAAAGGCUGUGGCUUAACCAUAGUACGCUUUGGAAACUGUUUAACUUGAGUGCAAGAGGGGAGAGUGGAAUUCCAUGUGUAGCGGUGAAAUGCGUAGAUAUAUGGAGGAACACCGGUGGCGAAAGCGGCUCUCUGGCUUGUAACUGACGCUGAGGCUCGAAAGCGUGGGGAGCAAACGGGAUUAGAUACCCCUGUAGUC
rnacentral:rRNA from 1 species